GACGAACGCUGGCGGCGUGCUUAACACAUGCAAGUCGAACGGAAAGGCCCUGCUUUUGUGGGGUGCUCGAGUGGCGAACGGGUGAGUAACACGUGAGUAACCUGCCCUUGACUUUGGUAGAACUUCAGGAAACUGGGGCUAAUACCGGAUAGGAGCUCCUGCUGCAUGGUGGGGGGUGGAACGUUUCGGCGGUUGGGGAUGGACUCGCGGCUUAUCAGCUAGUUGGUGGGUUAGUGGCUUACCAAGGCUUUGACGGGUAGCCGGCCUGAGAGGGUGACCGGCCACAUUGGGACUGAGAUACGGCCCAGACUCCUACGGGAGGCAGCAGUGGGGAAUAUUGCACAAUGGGCGGAAGCCUGAUGCAGCAACGCCGCGUGCGUGAUGACGGCCUUCGGGUUGUAAACCGCUUUAGCCUGUGACGAAGCGUGAGUGACGGUAAUGGGUAAAGAAGCACCGGCUAACUACGUG
rnacentral:rRNA from 1 species